rnacentral:rRNA from 1 species
UACAGAGGUCCCAAGCGUUGUUCGGAUUCACUGGGCGUAAAGGGUGCGUAGGUGGUUGGGUAAGUCUGAUGUGAAAUCUCCGGGCUCAACCCGGAAAUGGCAUUGGAUACUAUUCGGCUAGAGGGUUGGAGGGGGGACUGGAAUUCUCGGUGUAGCAGUGAAAUGCGUAGAUAUCGAGAGGAACACCAGUGGCGAAGGCGAGUCCCUGGACAACACCUGACGCUGAGGAGCGAAAGCCAGGGGAGCAAACGGG